GAGCGGCGGACGGGUGAGUAAUGUCUGGGAAACUGCCUGAUGGAGGGGGAUAACUACUGGAAACGGUAGCUAAUACCGCAUAACGUCGCAAGACCAAAGAGGGGGACCUUCGGGCCUCUUGCCAUCAGAUGUGCCCAGAUGGGAUUAGCUAGUAGGUGGGGUAACGGCUCACCUAGGCGACAAUCCCUAGCUGGUCUGAGAGGAUGACCAGCCACACUGGAACUGAGACACGGUCCAGACUCCUACGGGAGGCAGCAGUGGGGAAUAUUGCACAAUGGGCGCAAGCCUGAUGCAGCCAUGCCGCGUGUAUGAAGAAGGCCUUCGGGUUGUAAAGUACUUUCAGCGGGGAGGAAGGUGUUGAGGUUAAUAACCUCAGCAAUUGACGUUACCCGCAGAAGAAGCACCGGCUAACUCCGUGCCAGCAGCCGCGGUAAUACGGAGGGUGCAAGCGUUAAUCGGAAUUACUGGGCGUAAAGCGCACGCAGGCGGUCUGUCAAGUCGGAUGUGAAAUCCCCGGGCUCAACCUGGGAACUGCAUUCGA
rnacentral:rRNA from 1 species